rnacentral:rRNA from 1 species
CCUACGGGGGGCAGCAGUGAGGAAUAUUGGUCAAUGGGCGUAAGCCUGAACCAGCCAAGUCGCGUGAGGGAUGAAGGUUCUAUGGAUCGUAAACCUCUUUUAUAAGGGAAUAAAGUGCGGGACGUGUCCCGUUUUGUAUGUACCUUAUGAAUAAGGAUCGGCUAACUCCGUGCCAGCAGCCGCGGUAAUACGGGGGAUCCGAGCGUUAUCCGGAUUUAUUGGGUUUAAAGGGUGCGUAGGCGGCCUUUUAAGUUAGCGGUGAAAGUCUGUGGCUCAACCAUAGAAUGGCCGUUGAAACUGGGAGGCUUGAGUAUGUUUGAGGCAGGCGGAAUGCGUGGUGUAGCGGUGAAAUGCUUAGAUAUCACGAAGAACCCCGAUUGCGAAGGCAGCUUGCCAAGCCAUGACUGACGCUGAUGCACGAAAGCGUGGGGAUCAAACAGGAUUAGAUACCCCGGUAGUC